AUGGUUAAAGAAGAAAAAGAAGAAAACAGGGGUUCUGUUGAAUUUCAAGUAUUCAGUUUCACCAAUAAGAUACGGAGACUUGCUUCACAUUUGGAAUUACACAAAAAAGAUUUUUCAUCGGAAAGAGGUCUUCUUCUCUUCUAUUCCUUUCUUCUUCUCCUCUUCUUUUUCUUCUUUUUUCCUCUUCUUAUUUAUUUCUCCUCUUCUUCCUCUCCUCUUCUUCUCCUUUCUUCCUCUUCUUAUUUUCCUUUUUCCUCUCAUUCGUAA
rnacentral:rRNA from 1 species